rnacentral:rRNA from 1 species
UGCUCGAGUGGCGAACGGGUGAGUAACACGUGAGUAGCCUGCCCUUGACUUUGGGAUAACUUCAGGAAACUGGGGCUAAUACCGGAUAGGAGCUCCUGCUGCGUGGUGGGGGUUGGAAAGUUUCGGCGGUUGGGGAUGGACUCGCGGCUUAUCAGCUUGUUGGUGGGGUAGUGGCUUACCAAGGCUUUGACGGGUAGCCGGCCUGAGAGGGUGACCGGCCACAUUGGGACUGAGAUACGGCCCAG